UGCAGUCGAGCGGUAGCACAGAGAGCUUGCUCUCGGGUGACGAGCGGCGGACGGGUGAGUAAUGUCUGGGAAACUGCCUGAUGGAGGGGGAUAACUACUGGAAACGGUAGCUAAUACCGCAUAACGUCGCAAGACCAAAGUGGGGGACCUUCGGGCCUCAUGCCAUCAGAUGUGCCCAGAUGGGAUUAGCUAGUAGGUGGGGUAACGGCUCACCUAGGCGACGAUCCCUAGCUGGUCUGAGAGGAUGACCAGCCACACUGGAACUGAGACACGGUCCAGACUCCUACGGGAGGCAGCAGUGGGGAAUAUUGCACAAUGGGCGCAAGCCUGAUGCAGCCAUGCCGCGUGUGUGAAGAAGGCCUUCGGGUUGUAAAGCACUUUCAGCGGGGAGGAAGGCGAUAAGGUUAAUAACCUUGUCGAUUGACGUUACCCGCAGAAGAAGCACCGGCUAACUCCGUGCCAGCAGCCGCGGUAAUACGGAGGGUGCAAGCGUUAAUCGGAAUUACUGGGCGUAAAGCGCACGCAGGCGGUCUGUCAAGUCGGAUGUGAAAUCCCCGGGCUCAACCUGGGAACUGCAUUCGAAACUGGCAGGCUAGAGUCUUGUAGAGGGGGGUAGAAUUCCAGGUGUAGCGGUGAAAUGCGUAGAGAUCUGGAGGAAUACCGGUGGCGAAGGCGGCCCCCUGGACAAAGACUGACGCUCAGGUGCGAAAGCGUGGGGAGCAAACAGGAUUAGAUACCCUGGUAGUCCACGCCGUAAACGAUGUCGAUUUGGAGGUUGUGCCCUUGAGGCGUGGCUUCCGGAGCUAACGCGUUAAAUCGACCGCCUGGGGAGUACGGCCGCAAGGUUAAAACUCAAAUGAAUUGACGGGGGCCCGCACAAGCGGUGGAGCAUGUGGUUUAAUUCGAUGCAACGCGAAGAACCUUACCUGGUCUUGACAUCCACAGAACUUAGCAGAGAUGCUUUGGUGCCUUCGGGAACUGUGAAACAGGUGCUGCAUGGCUGUCGUCAGCUCGUGUUGUGAAAUGUUGGGUUAAGUCCCGCAACGAGCGCAACCCUUAUCCUUUGUUGCCAGCGUUCCGGCCGGGAACUCAAAGGAGACUGCCAGUGAUAAACUGGAGGAAGGUGGGGGUGACGUCAAGUCAUCAUGG
rnacentral:rRNA from 1 species